GAUGAACGCUGGCGGCGUGCCUAAUACAUGCAAGUCGAGCGAACAGACGAGGAGCUUGCUCCUCUGACGUUAGCGGCGGACGGGUGAGUAACACGUGGAUAACCUACCUAUAAGACUGGGAUAACUUCGGGAAACCGAACCAAAUACCGGAAAAAUAAUGAAACCGCUGGGUUCAUUAGGAAAGACGGGUUUGCUUUUACCUUUAGAAUGAUCCGCGCCGCAUUAGCUAGUUGGUAAGGUAACGGCUUACCAAGGCAACGAUGCGUAGCCGACCUGAGAGGGUGAUCGGCCACACUGGAACUGAGACACGGUCCAGACUCCUACGGGAGGCAGCAGUAGGGAAUCUUCCGCAAUGGGCGAAAGCCUGACGGAGCAACGCCGCGUGAGUGAUGAAGGUCUUCGGAUCGUAAAACUCUGUUAUUAGGGAAGAACAAAUGUGUAAGUAACUAUGCACGUCUUGACGGUACCUAAUCAGAAAGCCACGGCUAACUACGU
rnacentral:rRNA from 1 species